UACGUAGGGUGCAAGCGUUAAUCGGAAUUACUGGGCGUAAAGCGUGCGCAGGCGGUUGUGUAAGACAGAUGUGAAAUCCCCGGGCUCAACCUGGGAACUGCAUUUGUGACUGCACAGCUGGAGUGCGGCAGAGGGGGGAUGGAAUUCCGCGUGUAGCAGUGAAAUGCGUAGAUAUUGGAAGGAACACCAGUGGCGAAGGCGGCCACCUGGACAAACACUGACACUGAGGCACGAAAGCGUGGGUAGCGAACAGG
rnacentral:rRNA from 1 species